rnacentral:sRNA from 1 species
GCCAUGCAUGUCUCAGUGCAAGCCGUAUU